rnacentral:rRNA from 1 species
AAAAAAAAGUGUAUAACCGCAACCGCGGGCACAAAAAUAGGUAUUAAUUUUUCCCUUCUAAAACUAAAUUUUUAAAAUUUUAAAUUAAUUCCCCCCUAAAAUUUUUUUUUUUUAAAAAUUAAAUUCCCCCAAAAUUUAUGUAAAAUAAGGGUUAAUAAUUUUUUUAAAACCCUUAGAAAAUUUUU